rnacentral:siRNA from 1 species
GACCAUUCUGCCCAUCGCAACGCC